AUGGCUCUGCUCCCCCAGCCGGAGCCCCGCAACACUGCUCCCCCAGCCGGAGCCCCGCAACCCCACAGUCCCGCUUCCCCAGCAGAGUGUGGCAAGUCCCGUGGCCCAGCUACUGAGGCCGGAGCCCGGCAGCCCCGCUCUCCUCACCGCAGCCCAGCUCUCGAGGCCGGAGCCCCGCAAACCCGUGGCCGCGCUCCCCCGGCCGAGUGCUGCAACUCCCACUGUCCUUCUACCCCGGCCAGAGCCCUGCCACCCCGCUCUUUUGGCCAGAGCUCCGUCACCCCGCGGUACCACUCCCCUGGCCGGAACUCUGCAACCCCACCGUCCUGCUCCCUCUGCCGGAGCCCAGGGACCCACGGCCCCUCUAUCCUGGCCGGAGCCCCGCAAGUCCCGCGGCCCCUCUAUCCCAGCCGGAGCCCUGCAACACUGCAGCACCGCUCCCCUGAGCGGAGCCCUGCAACCCCGCAGUCCCUCCAACCCAGCCGGAUCCCAGGGACCCCGGCUGGAGUGCAGCAACUCCCGCUGCCCGCCACCCAGGCCGGAGCCCCAAAGCCCCGCUCUCAAGGCCAGAGGCCCACAACCCUGCCGUCCCGCUCUCCCGGUCGGAGGGCCGCAGUCCCGCACACCUGCGGUCCCACUUUCCCGGCCAAAGGCCUGCAAACCUGCGGUGCUGCUACCCCAGCUGGAGCCCCACAACUCCCGCAGUCCCGGCCCGCCCGGAGCCCCGCAACUCCUGCGGUCCCCGGCCCGGAGCCCCGCAACUCCUGCGGUCCCCGGCCCGAGCCCCGCAACUCCUGCGGUCCCCGGCCCGGAGCCCCACAACUCCUGCGGUCCCUGGCCCGGAGCCCCGCAUCUCCAGCAGUCCCCGGCCCGGAGCCCCGCAACUCCUGCAGUCCCCGGCCCGAGCUCAAGCCCCACAACUCCUGCGGUCCCAUCUUGAGCCCCGGAACUCCUGCGGUCCCCGGCCCGAGCUCAAGCCCCGCAACUCCUGCGGUCCCGGCCAGGAGCCCUGGCCCGAGCCCCGCACCUCCUGCGGUCCCGUCCCGGAGCCCCGCAACUCCUGCGGUCCCGUCCCGAGCCCCGCAACUCCUGCGGUCCCCGGCCGGGAGCCCCGCAACUCCUGCGGUCCCCGGCCGGGAGCCCCGCAACUCCUGCGGUCCCCGGCCGGGAGCCCCGCAACUCCUGCGGUCCCCGGCCGGGAGCCCCGCAACUCCUGCGGUCCCCGGCCGGGAGCCCCGCAACUCCUGCGGUCCCCGGCCUGAGCUCAAGCCCCGCAACUCCUGUGGCCCCAGCCAGGAGCCCUGCAACUCCUGCAGUCCAGGUCUGAGCCCUGGCACCAGACCCGCAAACCAGCAGUCCCGUCUCGGAGCCCCGCAACUACUGCAGUCCCCGGCCCGAGCUCAAGCCCCAUAACUCCUGCGGUCCCGUCCCGGAGCCCCGCAACUCCUGCGGUCCCCGCCUGAGCUCAAGCCCCACAACUCCUGCGGUCCCGUCCCGAGCCCCGCAACUCCUGCGGUCCCCGGCCCGAGCUCAAGCCCCGCAACUCCUGCGGUCCCCGGCCUGAGCUCAAGCCCCACAACUCCAGCGGUCCCCGGCCCGGAGCCCCGCAUCUCCAGCGGUCCCCGGCCCGGAGCCCCGCAACUCCUGCGGUCCCCGCCUGAGCUCAAGCCCCACAACUCCUGCGGUCCCGUCCCGAGCCCCGCAACUCCUGCGGUCCCUGGCCCGAGCUCAAGCCCCGCAACUCCUGCGGUCCCUGGCCUGGAGCCCCGCAACUCCUGCGGUCCCCGGCCUGAGCUCAAGCCCCGCAUCUCCAGCGGUCCCCAGCCCGGAGCCCCGCAACUCCUGCAGUCCCCGGCCCGGAGUCCCGUAUUCCUGCAGUCCCCGGCCCGAGCUCAAGCCCCGCAACUCCUGCGGUCCCGGCCAGGAGCCCUGGCCCGAGCCCCACAAAUCCUGCGGUCCCCGGCCCGGAGCCCCGCAACUCCUGCAGUCCCUGCCUGAGCUCAAGCCCCGCAACUCCUGCAGUCCCGGCCAGGAGCCCUGGCCCCGCAACUCCUGCGGUCCUGGCCCGGAGCCCU
ensembl:lncRNA